rfam:Pan troglodytes isolate Yerkes chimp pedigree #C0471 (Clint) chromosome 16, whole genome shotgun sequence.
GCCGGGCGUGGUGGCUCACGCCUGUAAUCCCAGCACUUUGGGAGGCCGAGGUGCGUGGAUCACCUGAGGUCAGGAGUUCAAGACCAGCCUGACCAACAUGGUGAAACCCCAUCUCUA